UACGGGGGGGGCAAGCGUUGUUCGGAAUUACUGGGCGUAAAGGGCGCGUAGGCGGUGCUCUAAGUCGGAUGUGAAAACUCUGGGCUUAACCCAGAGCCUGCAUCCGAAACUGGAGUGCUAGAGUUCUGGAGGGGAUAGCGGAAUUCCUGGUGUAGCGGUGAAAUGCGUAGAUAUCAGGAGGAACACCGGUGGCGAAGGCGGCUAUCUGGACAGAAACUGACGCUGAGGCGCGAAAGCUAGGGGAGCAAACAGG
rnacentral:rRNA from 1 species